GGGUGCCAAUCCGGACCCAGACCAGACGGGCACCGGUCGUGUCCCGGUGCCGUUCAUAUCCAUCUUGCUCCCUGGAGGAUUUGGCUAUGCGC
rnacentral:sRNA from 1 species